UGGGGAAUAUUGGACAAUGGGGGCAACCCUGAUCCAGCAAUGCCACGUGUGUGAUGAAGGCCUUCGGGUUGUAAAGCACUUUAGUGAGGGAGGAAGGAAGCUGUGCUAAUACCAUAGUUUUUUGACAGUACCUCAAGAAUAAGCACCGGCAAACUCUGUGCCAGCAGCCGCGGUAAUACAGAGGGUGCAAGCGUUAAUCGGAAUUAUUGGGCGUAAAGGGCUUGUAGGUGGUUCUAUAAGUUAGAUGUGAAAACCCUGGGCUUAACCUAGGACGUGCAUUUAAUACUGUAGAGCUAGAGUAUAGUAGAGGAGAGGGGAAUUCCUGGUGUAGCAGUGAAAUGCGUAGAGAUCAGGAGGAACAUCUGUGGCGAAGGCGCCUCUCUGGACUAAUACUGACACUGAGGAGCGAAGGCGUGGGGAUCAAACAGG
rnacentral:rRNA from 1 species